rnacentral:lncRNA from 1 species
CAAUAGCCAAGACAUGGAAACAACCUAAAUGUCCAUCGACAGAAGCGUGGAUCAAAAAGAAGUGGUACAUAUACACAAUGGAAUAUUACUCAGCCAUUAAAAGGAACAAAGUAAAGGCAACUGGGACAACAUGGAUGGACCUAGAAAUUAUCACGGUAAGUGAAGUCAGUCAGACAAAGAGACACCAACAUCAAAUGCCAUCAUUUACAUGUGGAAUCUCAAAAAAGGACACAAUCAACUUCUUUGUAGAACAGAUGCUGACUCACAGACUUUGAAAAACUUACAGUUUCCAAAUGAGACAGUGUGGGGGGUGGGGGGAUGCGCUAGGGGUUUGUGAUAGAAAUGCUAUAAAAUUGGGUUGUGACAAUAAUUGUGCAACUAUAAAUGUAAUUCAUUCAUUGAGUAAUUAAAAAGUCAAAAAAAGUAAAAAAAAAAAAAAAGAAAAGAAAAGAAACCGACACUUAUCAUAGUGAUGGCACUGUUUUUAUCAGCAGCUGUCAAUUAAGAUAAGGCUUUGGAGGAAAAGAAAAUCACCUCUAUUUUAGGCAUAGUCAGUAUUUUUGAGAUUUUUGAGAGGAGUUUGGUUUUUUGUUAUAUGGUGUUUAGAAAAAAAUGAGAGGAGUUCCCGUCGUGGCUCAGUGGUUAAAGAAUCCGACUAGGAACCAUGAGGUUGUGGGUUCGGACCCUGGCCUUACUCAGUGUGUUAAGGAUCUGGCAUUGCUGUGAGCUGUGGUGUAGGUCACAGAUGCAGCUCAGAUCUGGCGUGGCUGUGGCUGUGGUGUAGGCCGAAGCCUUGGGCAGAGGGUCUCAGGAGCAAAACCACGGUUCCGAGAAAGACCAGCUGCUUGAGGCUGGUGGGAGGCAAGCAGGGUCCAAAGUGAGGGGCUACAGAGGCGGACAGACAAGGGGUCGAGGGGGGCGGGAGGAUCUCCUGAGUCAGGAGCAGCACCUGCAGGGAACUCGCCGCCGAGGGAUCUUCAAGCAGGACGGGAGCCGCUGCGGUCGGUCCCCAGGCUUCAGCCCGCGCUGCCCAGUCUUGGAAGACGGGAAGCGCCCAUGACCUGCCCAGAGCUGGCAAGGCUGCCCGUUUCUGAUGCUCCCUUCAGUUUCCUGAGAAGGAGGGGGAUGGGGUGCGUGGCCAGUCGCUAGAGAGGAGGCCUGCGAAGCGUGGGCAGGACUAAAAGCUUGAUCCAGCCUCUGCUGUCACGUCUCAAACCAGGGUGGCCACUGAAGAGAACAAGCGAGCCGGGUACAAAGGGCACAAGGCCGGGGACCAGGGGUCCCUGUCCUCAGCCUCUCGGCUCUCCACGUGCCUGGCCACCCACGAGGCGUGAAGGCCACCAGCAUGGGGUCUUGCUGCUCACCUCGAGUUGGAGGUCACUGCACAAGGGCAGGGCGACCUCCCGUUUGUUUUAUGAUCUGCUUUUAAAAGCAAAGAAUUUUGAAACUGAAAAAGAUGAAUGUGUCAAAUGUUCCCUUUUACAUUGUUUUUACUGCACUUUGCACAAUACAUGCGUUCUCUGGGUUAACUGCAGUCAUCUUAUUUUUUCCGCCUCUUUUUCCAUUACUGCAUAUGCCUUUUUGCUUAGUAACAGAAUUUCCACUGAUUUUUCUUUCAUUUUUUAAAAAACAUGCUCCAUUCAAAAGCUAAAGAAUACAAGAAAGUCAAAGAUUAAAAAAUCAUAGAGCCUUCAAGGAAUCAUUUAAUUUAUUUAACAAUUGGAAGAGUUUCUUUUCAGUCUUUUUUUCUAGGAAGUUAUUCUUUUCUUCUCU